UCUGUUUUUUCUAGUUAUAAAUAUUAAACUUAUUUUCGAAUUUUUUUUUAAAGGGAUUAAGUAAAUUUUUUUAGAUUGAAUAAUAAUUUUUUUUUAUAACAUUAUAUUUAAAACAUCAAAAUUAUAUUAUGGACCAGGAUUAGAUACCCUGUUACUUAUAAAUAAUAAAUUUUGGAAUAGUAAUAAUAAUGAAAUUUAACGGAUUUGGCGGCAAGAUAACCAUUUAGAGGAACCUGCCCUGUAAACGAUGGUCCACGAAUAACUUUACUUUUAUUUGUAUUCAGUUUGUAUACCGCUGUUGUCAGUCAGUUUUUGUAGAAAUCUUUCUUUCAUGAUAAAAUCAUAGACUUCAAGUAAAGGUGCAGCUUAUAUAAAAGUUAGAGGUGGGUUACAUUUAUAAGAUUAAAACGAAUUAAAUUUAUGAAAUAAUUUAUGAAGGUGGAUUUAAUUGUAAAGUUUAUUUAAACUUGAUGUGAGCUCUAUCUAUGUACACACCGCUUUUCAU
rnacentral:rRNA from 1 species